rnacentral:rRNA from 1 species
CCUACGGGCGGCAGCAGUGGGGAAUAUUGGACAAUGGGGGGAACCCUGAUCCAGCGACGCCGUGUGAGUGAAGAAGUCUCUCGGUAUGUAAAGCUCUAUCAGCAGGGAAGAAAGAAAUGACGGUACCUGACUAAGAAGCCCCGGCUAACUACGUGCCAGCAGCCGCGGUAAUACGGAGGGGGCAAGCGUUCUCCGGAUUUCCUGGGUGUAAAGGGAGCGUAGACGGGGAUGCAAGUCUGAAGUGAAAGGCGGGGGCCCAACCCCCGGACUGCAUUGGAAACUGGAUGGCUGGAGUGCAGGAGAGGUAAGUGGAAUUCGUGGUGUAGCGGUGAAAUGCGUAGAUAUUAGGAAGAACACCAGUGGCGAAGGCGGCUUACUGGACUGUAACUGACGUUGAGGCUCGAAAGCGUGGGGAGCAAACAGGAUUAGAUACCCGGGUAGUC